AUUGAACGCUGGCGGCAGGCCUAACACAUGCCAGUCGAGCGGAUGAAGGGAGCUUGCUCCUGGAUUCAGCGGCGGACGGGUGAGUAAUGCCUAGGAAUCUGACUGGUAGUUGGGGAUAACGUCCGGAAACGGGCGCUAAUACCGCAUACGUCCUGAGGGAGAAAGGGGGGGAUCUUCGGACCUCACGCUAUCAGAUGAGCCUAGGUCGGAUUAGCUAGUUGGUGGGGUAAAGGCCUACCAAGGCGACGAUCCGUAACUGGUCUGAGAGGAUGAUCAGUCACACUGGAACUGAGACACGGUCCAGACUCCUACGGGAGGCAGCAGUGGGGAAUAUUGGACAAUGGGCGAAAGCCUGAUCCAGCCAUGCCGCGUGUGUGAAGAAGGUCUUCGGAUUGUAAAGCACUUUAAGUUGGGAGGAAGGGCAGUAAGUUAAUACCUUGCUGUUUUGACGUUACCAACAGAAUAAGCACCGGCUAACUUCGUG
rnacentral:rRNA from 1 species